UACGGGGGGAGCAAGCGUUGUUCGGAUUUACUGGGCGUAAAGGGCGCGUAGGCGGCCACCGCAAGUCGGUUGUGAAAUCUCUGGGCUUAACCCAGAAAGGUCAACCGAUACUGCGGGGCUAGAGUGCAGAAGGGGCAACUGGAAUUCUCGGUGUAGCGGUGAAAUGCGUAGAUAUCGAGAGGAACACCUGCGGCGAAGGCGGCCUGCUGGGCUGUUGCUGACGCUGAGGCGCGACAGCGUGGGGAGCAAACAGG
rnacentral:rRNA from 1 species